GAAAAUUUUCGUUCUCCUAAUGUGCCUUUCAGGAAAUGCUAUUUGCAACAUUACAGAACCAAUUAUUCUUUUUACCCUCAAGAAUUAAUUCUCCAUGAAUGUUACAGCUGAUAAUUUUCUAGCACUUACAUUGUUGUUGACAAUUGCAGCGCCAGAUACAGGACCUGCAAAUGGUAGCCUUUCUACUAGUUUGGGAAUCACCUUUUUUCCUUUAUAAUGCCAAACAAUAAAGCCAUUUCAAACAGUUCCAGUUCAAGUAUGAGAAUUUUACUCGCAAGAGAGAGUAGAAUAUUUGUUACUCAUUCAGUAAGAUUUCUGAAACAUUUGCUUUUAAUACAAGUUUGAACAAAAUAUGAAGAAUACCCUUCCAAGGUUGAAUAACCAUAUAUUCCCAAGAUUUCUAAUUUGCUAUUAUGACACUUAUGUAAGAUCAAAUCAAUUGGUGAAGGAUCAGGACAACAUGUUUAUUAGUACUUCUUCAUCUAUCAACUUUCACCUAGAAAAGAUUUUAUGACCCUCUACUGUCUGGAAACAUUAACCAUAAACAAGACAUUUUUGCGAGGUUUUGCAGCUGCACUAUAUGUUCCUAUUCUGCUUAAUUCCUUCAAUUGUGCUUCUCAAAGUAAGUCGUCUGCGCUCUUGCUUAUUCAUUACUUUUCGUGUUAAAUUUGAUUUUUGUUAAGGAGAUAUAUUGAAUCUACUUGUGCCAUCAUGUCACGACCUUAGCUGGUUUUGCCUAAGGCAUGCGGCACCCUCGCGUGUCCGUCCGUAAAGGUCAGCCUCCCCGAAGCCUCCCAUUGUCCCUUAGGACCAACAAAAGAGAGAACGGGUUAAAGAGAACGCCUCAAUCGGGAUCCACAAGCAAACAUGUCCGAAAAACACUUCAUAGACAAUGCAAAUUACAAACAGACUUUACAAGCUCUGAACAGUGGCACAACAAUGGGUAAAAUGGUCCAUUACAGACCGAAAAGCUCUCACACGUGUCCACAUGACACAACCUUUAUUUACAAGCCUAAAGAGGCCACCAACCCAACUAACAUGGGACUAUUUAGCCUUCGGCCGCCCCUUUACCUGCUGUACAAGGCAUGAACAUGCCAAAAGACAACGGACAGACAUAAGCAUUACAUCCAACAUCUUGUUUAGAAGUUUGUCCGUUACAUUCUCCCCCACUUAUCCCUUCGACGUCCUCGUCGAAGCCUUUGUGAACACUGCAACUCUUCGCCUUUGCUGAGUCUUCAAUCUUCCACUCUAGCUGCAAUGCGCCUCCUGGCUCCUAGCUGCUCUCCGCUGCUGUUUUUGAGUAGUCGAACCUUUGAUCUGCCAUGCUGCUUCAACUCACCAAUGACUCUGACUCUGGUGUGGGGUUGGCUGAGUUGUGUUGAUCCUUGUUGAUUCCUGUGGAUCCACCAAAUAAAGGAAAAGACCAUCUUUACUGCGCUAGUCUCUCAAAAUUUCCACAUGCUGCUUGAACUGGGUGGAUGCUUGUUGGAGCUUUAACGAGCAUCGCCUCGCAAACUUCCGAAGUUUUUGGUCCUUCCUCCAUAAAAUCUGCUCAUUGACUCUUCUUUCAGUUAGUUGUCCCAUCCAAGUAUGUUCGCAUCACUUCCGCUUUCGAUUGGCAUUUCGUUGGGAAAUGAGGCGGACAAUCUACUCUCAGUAGCACUGAUCACCGUUGGUGAGGAUUUGACAACUAUUGUCUUCCAUUAUCUUCGAAGGGUCUUUGAACUUGUGCAGCGCUCCUCUGCUGGAUAGAUAAGAGAAUUGGGGUACUCAGUUUCGCCCAUUCUCUUAAGAGUUGAGAAGGCAAAAGUUACUUGACUUCGCCCGCCUCCUCGAGGUUGUACUUCAUGCAUCGAGCUGGUUACUAGCCUUCGCCUGCUCUUUGCUCACACUUCUGAAGCACUUGAAGUGUUUGCACUCCUUGCGUUGAGUUAGUUACUGUGAUUCACCUUCUCAAUGCCAUUGAACUUCUAGAAUGCAGGAAGUUUUCACCCCAACUUGGAGUAAUUCUCUGAUAGAUGAGGUCGCCUCUGGGAUUGUACCGUCUUCUCCAUCAACCCUGCCGCCUACUCCACUGAGUAGCAAAGGUACAGCACCGCGUACUGCCUGCUUCGUUCCUUGGUCGUGCACUCUUGCAUGACCCGAAGUCCUUCACUUACGGCUAUCUUGAUGAGAAACUUGUUGACACCGGUCUUACGAAGUUUCUUGGCCUCUGCCCUUCAGCCUUGUCUCGGUACUUGGAGAUUGCCUCUGCAUGCUCCACCUCCUCGGCCCCUUUCACGACCAAGCGCUCUCCCUCCGUGAGAGCAAGGGAUCAAUGACUUGCACGGAAGUCCCGCCUCUGCGGUACCAUGGCGCUGCCAUGCCCAUGGCCCUACUAUCCGUCGCCUCGCCUCUGUAUCCCUUUCCUUCACAAUCAGUAGAGAUGUCUCCAUGGCACUCCUCUGAGUCCACCUCCAUUCUAACUGAUGCUUGAUUUUGGGUAGCUAAGUCCCUCUGGACUCGUCGUCGCUUCCUCGCCCCUUUCGACCCCCUGCUUCAACACCAUUGUGUUCUCCAAGCAGUCCGUUUGGUCGAUGGAAAGACAGACUGCAACUCCCAUGCAUGGCCUCUGCCAUCACGUUGUAGUGUUUGCACCGAUUCUGUUCUCCUUAGCUUCCUUGGUAGUAACGUUCGCUUACUCGACCUUGUCCUCUGACUUGUCGGGCUCCCUUAAGCGAAUAUAAGCUCUGGAGAAGUCCAACUCUCCAGCUGCUUCGAUCAUACCUCUGCAUGAUCAAGUCCCUCCCAUGGAACUCACUGGUACUUGCAUUCGAACUUUUCCCUUGGUGGAACCCAGCCCCCAUAUGCUGAUGACCAAGGUUUUCAUCCGAUGCAAAAUUCGGUGCACGCCUGGAAGACCCGCCUCUGCGGUACCAUGACCUUCACUCCUUGAAUCCAUAGCCCUUCCUGUCGUCGUGUUGUUCACCAAAGCGGAGCUCCCAGUAGCUCCCGAUCAUACCUCUAUAUGAUCUCAUCCCUCACGGGACAAUGUCGUGUGUGUCGCAUUGCCACGAACUGUUCCACCACGAUCCGCUGCACCAUGUCGCCUCCUGGUGACAUCUCCAUUGCAUUUUGAUCUUUGUGGAAUAAACUCGAAUUGUGAACCCUCCAUGUGUGGCCUCUGCCAAUACAUCGCAGGGUCCCUUCCACUUUCGAUUUUGUUCUCUCCUCUGGCAAUCGACCUUCAUCCACCCACUCCCGGGUCACACUUAGAUGAAGCACCGCUCUAGGACAGUCCGUCGCCUAGUAGCUCUCGAAGUCCACCGACUUCAUUGUAAUCUGUGCACCAUUGUCUGGAUCCUGGGCCUCUACCCCUACCAGCACAAUCUCCGCUACGCACUGCUUCCUUCAUAGCAACUCAAAUGGCAACACUGUGGCAUAUUCUUCAAGAGUAUCCGCCUCUGCGUCCUCUCGCCCCGUGCUAAGGCCUUCUGAACCCAACUUUGCCUCCGCAAAUUGAGUCACCUUAGUUUCUCCAUCAAAUGCUUCUCCGAGAUAAGGUGCAUGUGCCCGGAAGCUCCCUUCGUCUUUGGCACCAUGCAAGAUGAGUCCGCUCCGUCAGAAUGAAGGACCCAUGGAACAACAUGAUCCUACUCUUGCCUCUGCAAGAGUUCAUGUCCUUGACCUCUGUCUAAGAAAAGCACUGUGCCUCUGCUCCAUGUUCCAACUUCUAUGCUGGCUCCCUUCAUGCGGCUUGGGUACUUCGCCAAGUUACACCCAAGUUGCUCCGUUCCUCGUUUUUGCAUUGAGUCGAUGGUGGCCCUCGCGCCCACCAUUCCACGGGUCAGCCCUCCCUUGAGUCCGAUCUCCACAUCGACUCCAAGUGUACCUUCAUAAGUUGCUUUGGGUCGCUCCCCCACUUGAUCUCGCAAUGCAUCCACCAAUGCAUUCUCUCGAGCAAGAUCAUGCGACAACUCCUCGUCGCUUGCUCAGUCCAUCGAGCUUUGUGAAGUUGUUGUUUGUGAGGUACUCCUCCUCAACAUGUGAAGUCCGUCUCACAUGAUUCUCCCUCUGGAGUGCCGAGACUUAUCCCUCCUAGAUAACUAUCCCGUUGGAGCAACAUCUCUCUUCGUUUCGGAGACCACCAUCCCCUUGGACUACUCCGAUCUGCUGAACAAACUGUGCAUUGUUCUGCCUCUUGCAAACGCACUUGCUAGAUUGCGCCUCCACGUCAAUACAGCCACCGCCGCACCCCUCAAGGCCUAGCAACAUGCUAAACUCGUUGCACACUUCAGCCUCCUCCGGACGUAUCCUUUGCAUGCCGAAGAGAAAGUUUCAAUGCUCCAUGGCGCCGAGUCUCGACCGCCUUGGGAUGGCCACGAACAUUCCAUCGUCCGUAUACAAGCCCAUGCAUGAGUACCAAAUUCUUCGAGUUAGCAAUUCCCCUCACCUCUGUGAGCUUUUACAUAACUCUUUUGGUCGUUGAGCAACUCAUUCCACCUUGGACGGUCUCAUUCUUGCCAAGCGCCUCGCUUGCCUAGAGCACCAUCAAGUAUAGUUGUCAACGUUGAGCCGUAGCUCAAACUCAGCCAUCCCAACCUUUGUGCGCUCCAAAUUCUUCCAAGCUUGCCUGUUCUCGUGGUGCCUCUUGCGCGAAGGGUUGGCCAUUCCUCUGAAUGCCAAUCUCAGAUGCUCGCUCCUCUGAGCGACUCUUUUCCCUACAUCUCCAUGCCCGUUUUCCCUCAAACGGUCGCGUGUGUGCUGACUGCCCUCAACGCAGCCCCGCUAGGUCCCCCACGUUUGCAUGUCAAGUGUUUCUAUGAGUACUUGUCCCGCUCUGAUACCAUAAUGUCACGACCUUAGCUGGUUUUGCCUAAGGCGUGCGGCACCCUCGCGCGUCAGUCCGCAAAGGUCAGCCUCCCCGAAGCCUCCCAUUGUCCCUUAGGACCAACAAAAGAGAGAACGGGUUAAAGAGAACGCCUCAAUCGGGAUCCACAAGCAAACAUGUCCGAAAAACACUUCAUAGACAAUGCAAAUUACAAACAGACUUUACAAGCUCUGAACAGUGGCACAACAAAGGGUAAAAUGGUCCAUUACAGACUGAAAAGCUCUCGCACGUGUCCACAUGACACAACCUUUAUUUACAAGCCUAAAGAGGUCACCAACCCAACUAACAUGAGACUAUUUAGCCUUCGGCCGCCCCUCUACCUGCUGUACAAGGCAUGAACAUGCCAAAAGACAACGGACAGACAUAAGCAUUACAUCCAACAUCUUGUUUAGAAGUUUGUCCGUUACAAUCAGUCGAAAAAGUAUGAGAAAUAUUUUCUAUAUUCCCUUUUUUUUUUCGAUAGUGGUUAGCUAAUUCUACUAGUCUUAAUCAUAAACAGGACCACCAAGACAAAACAAUUUGGAAGAUAAUAUUGGCUGGCUAAAGGUGAAGCUUACAGAAGAUGACAGAUCGUCGCGGAUGCACCUCCGAAACGCAACUAAUCAUCUUCUUAUGUUCUAGUAAUAUGGCAUUCAUUGCCAUCAUCUUCUACCUCUUUAUGACUUGAAAGAGAAACUUGUUUUGCUUACAAGUCAGAAAUAGUUUUACUGCAGCCAUGCAGCUGCUCAGCUGAUCUUGAGAUGCAUCAAAGGAGUAGAGUGAAUUCAAGACAUAUUCCAUGGUUGAACACAUCAUGCAUCUCCACAACCAUACUUUGACUGAAACCUUCAGUAUGUUGCAUGCCUUGCUCAUACACUGAUACAUCCAUGAGCUACUGGUACUCUCUCUCUCUCUCUCUUUCUCUCUCUCGCUCGCUCGCUCUUACACAAGAGGUCCACCCUUGAGGUAUUCAGUGAAAGCCAGUGCCACCAAGCCGAGCAUGGCGAAGCGGCCGUUCCAGAGCUCUGCAUCGGCUGUCAUCACGCCACUAGACUUGGACUGCACGCUCACGCCCUUGAACAGGGGCACCAAGGAGGCAGCAGAAAGCAAGGCGGCGGUGCCCGCGAACCACGGCAGCCCGCCAUUCGCGAGCUGAGCCACCAGGUCGUCGCCCCUCGUGAGCUCCACCGCGAUGGCUGACACGAACCCGAUCAUCGCCAAUCUUCCGUUGAUCCUCUCCGGUGCCGGCCCACUGAACGCUAGGAUAUCCGAGAAGCUCGUGCUUUCCUGUAUCAUGAAAUUGCUGGUGAAGAAACUGAUGUCGAAUUCUCUCAACUCUAAUAUGAUUGCGUUCAGUAUUCA